GACAUAGGUGGCGAACGUUAUCCGGAAUUAUUGGGCGUAAAGGAUGCGUAGAUGGUAGAAUAAGUUACUGGUCGAUGCCAAACUCAAUUUGACGGAAGCUGGUAAUACUGUUCUACUCGAGGGCAGGAGAGGUUGAUGGAAUUCUGUGUGGAGCGGUGAAAUGCGUUGAUCUACAGAGGAACACCAAAAAAGGCGAAGGCAGUCAACUAGUCUGUUCCUGACAUUGAGGCAUGAAAGCGUGGGGAGCAAACCGG
rnacentral:rRNA from 1 species